UGACUUCCAUUGGCACGAUGAUCUCUGCGU
rnacentral:piRNA from 1 species